AGCGAACGCUGGCGGCAGGCCUAACACAUGCAAGUCGAACGAUCCUUCGGGAUAGUGGCGGACGGGUGAGUAACACGUGGGAACGUGCCUUUUGGUUCGUAACAACUCAGGGAAACUUGAGCUAAUACCGGAUGUGCCCUUCGGGGGAAAGAUUUAUCGACAUUAGAGCGGCCCGCGUCUGAUUAGCUAGUUGGUGGGGUAAAGGCCUACCAAGGCGACGAUCAGUAGCUGGUCUGAGAGGAUGAUCAGCCACAUUGGGAAUGAGACACGGCCCAAACUCCUACGGGAGGCAGCAGUGGGGAAUCUUGCGCAAUGGGCGAAAGCCUGACGCAGCCAUGCCGCGUGAAUGAUGAAGGUCUUAGGAUUGUAAAAUUCUUUCACCGGGGACGAUAAUGACGGUACCCGGAGAAGAAGCCCCGGCUAACUUCGUGCCAGCAGCCGCCGUAA
rnacentral:rRNA from 1 species